rnacentral:rRNA from 1 species
CAAACCAAAGCUGGCGACCGGCGCACGGGUGAGUAACACGUAUCCAACCUGCCUCAUACUCGGGGAUAGCCUUUCGAAAGAAAGAUUAAUAUCCGAUAGCAUAUAUUUCCCGCAUGGGUUUUAUAUUAAAGAAAUUCGGUAUGAGAUGGGGAUGCGUUCCAUUAGUUUGUUGGGGGGGUAACGGCCCACCAAGACUACGAUGGAUAGGGGUUCUGAGAGGAAGGUCCCCCACAUUGGAACUGAGACACGGUCUAA